UGGGGAAUCUUCCGCAAUGGACGAAAGUCUGACGGAGCAACGCCGCGUGAGUGAUGACGGCCUUCGGGUUGUAAAGCUCUGUUAAUCGGGACGAAUGGUUCUUGUGCGAAUAGUGCGAGGAUUUGACGGUACCGGAAUAGAAAGCCACGGCUAACUACGUGCCAGCAGCCGCGGUAAUACGUAGGUGGCAAGCGUUGUCCGGAAUUAUUGGGCGUAAAGCGCGCGCAGGCGGAUUGGUCAGUCUGUCUUAAAAGUUCGGGGCUUAACCCCGUGAUGGGAUGGAAACUGCCAAUCUAGAGUAUCGGAGAGGAAAGUGGAAUUCCUAGUGUAGCGGUGAAAUGCGUAGAUAUUAGGAAGAACACCAGUGGCGAAGGCGACUUUCUGGACGAAAACUGACGCUGAGGCGCGAAAGCCAGGGGAGCGAACGGGAUUAGAUACCCCGGUAGUCCUGGCCGUAAACGAUGGGUACUAGGUGUAGGAGGUAUCGACCCCUUCUGUGCCGGAGUUAACGCAAUAAGUACCCCGCCUGGGGAGUACGACCGCAAGGNUG
rnacentral:rRNA from 1 species